rnacentral:rRNA from 1 species
UAGCAUAAUAAAUUGUUUUUUAAUUGAAAACUGGAAUGAAAGGUUACACAAUUUAUAAAUUUUUUAGGUCAAGUUCACGAAUUUUUACUAUAAGUAAAAAUACUUAUAUAUUAUAAAGGGACGAUAAGACCCUAGAAGCUUGAUUCCAUAUCAUGUACAAAAAUUUUUUGUUGAUACCUUGUAUUUGAUAGGAAUUUGAUUGGGGAAAUAAUUAUUUUAUAAAUAAUAUGUUAUCUAAUACCUUAAAUAUUAAGAUCUUUUAUAUAAAAAUUUACAGUAAAAGUUACUCUAGGGAUAACAGCGUAAUAAUUUUGGAUAGACCGUAUAUAUAAAAUUGAUUGCGACCUCGAUGUUGAAUUAAAAUAUCUAUAUAAAGUAGAAAUUAUAUAAGAAA